rnacentral:pre_miRNA from 1 species
ACAGAGAUAGCUGGGUCAAAUGGUGAUUCCAUUCCCAGAUUUCCAAGGAAUCUCCAUACUGCUUUCCAUAUCGGCUGCACCAAUUUCCACUCCCACCAGCAAU